AUUGAACGCUGGCGGCAGGCUUAACACAUGCAAGUCGAGCGGGGGAAGGUAGCUUGCUACCGGACCUAGCGGCGGACGGGUGAGUAAUGCUUAGGAAUCUGCCUAUUAGUGGGGGACAACACCUCGAAAGGGAUGCUACUACCGCCUACGUCCUACGGGAGAAAGCAGGGGAUCUUCGGACCUUGCGCUAAUAGAUGAGCCUAAGUCGGAUUAGCUAGUUGGUGGGGUAAAGGCCUUCCAAGGCGACGAGCUGUAGCGGGUCUGAGAGGAUGAUCCGCCACACUGGGACUGAGACACGGCCCAGACUCCUACGGGAGGCAGCAGUGGGGAAUAUUGGACAAUGGGGGAACCCUGAUCCAGCCAUGCCGCGUGUGUGAAGAAGGCCUUAUGGUUGUAAAGCACUUUAAGCGAGGAGGAGGCUACUUUAGUUAAUACCUAGAGAUAGUGGACGUUACUCGCAGAAUAAGCACCGGCUAACUCUGUGCCAGCCGCCGCGGUAA
rnacentral:rRNA from 1 species